CUGAAAUCAGGCGGGAUUACCC
rnacentral:rRNA from 33 species